rnacentral:lncRNA from 13 species
CCAGCCUCUAGAAUUGUAAGAAAUAAAUGUCUUUUGUUGAUAAAUUAUAUCUAUACAUUAUUCAAUGUAUUAUAUCAAUGCUUGAGAGAGAGUGAGGUCAAUCUGAAUUCAGUGUCCUUUUUUUUCCACAGCUUUAGUUCACCAAGAAAUAGGAAGAAAAUUCAGAGGGGAACAGUUGACAUCACUUAUUGAAUAUGUCAUUUUUUUCUCACUAAGCCUAUUUGUGUCUUUGCAUGUGAGAUGGGUCUCCUGAAUACAGCACACUGUUGGGUCUUGACUCUAUCCCAUUUGCCAGUCUGUGCCUUGUAUGUAAACAGGGAAAUACAGACAACACCAACAAAGAUACUCCUCGAGAAGAGCAACCCCAAGACAAAUAAUCAUCAGAUUUGCCAAGUCUUGUGUUUGAGGUGGUGUGAUUCAGAAUUAGGAAUAUGGACUGGAAUUUAGAAAAGAGGACUGAAGAAACAAAGGAAUUUGAGAGAAGGACAAAGAAAAAGAUCUAAAACUAACUGGAUGUGGUACAGCUUCAUGAAAGGUAGCAGGCAGGGAGUUGGAGUAAGGGAGGGAAAGAGAAAUUCUGGAGAAUUAGAAAAUGAGAGAGGCAGUGAGAGAUUGUUUUAAGAGGUGUUACUAUGUGUUAAAAAUU